CUUGCAGUUCUUUAUCAAGUUAAGUUUUUCUUCAUCUGCUUUCACAUCAAAACCAACCAUGAAUCUCAGUAUCUGUUUCACCAUUUGACAUCAUAUGAAACUAAUGCACACAAAAUCACGGCUGUGCAUGUACUUCGAAGUAUACAUAAUAGGAAGAAAAAAGAUACGUUUUGGAAAUACUUAUAAAGAUCCAUACGUUGUGCACAUCUAGAAGAAACCUAAUUACUGUAUAUACAGAUACACACAGUUUGUGUGAAUGUGAUUCGAAAUUUUUGAUAGAAUAUCAAUGCGAAAAUUUAAGUUUAAAAUAUGCUCCUUGACAGAUUGGCUGGAUGAGAUCCGAAGAAAUACUGAUGCUGUCGAUUUUAAGGAUGUCGGUGGUGGUUCCGCAGGAUUUUCAUGAGAAAUGGACAGAUGAAGAAAAUUCCAUUGCUGCGUGGUAUCGUUCGCAGCGUGGUUGGACCAUUUGAACGGCAACAGCAUACCCAAUGUACUGGAUACAAUGGCCAGGAUAACGGUCACUUCGAUGAAAUCAAAGAUCGAUGUCGUGAUUCUUACGUCAGCGUCUGUCGAUUGAAAUACAACGAGGCAACGCGGCUUCCGUGCUGGGGACGAUGGAAGGAGCGGAUAAAUUAGAAGAAAUUUUGCUGUUGUAAUUCUAUUUUUGUUGCCAAUUCAUGUAUUCUAACUGGCUUGUGCUAAUAAAGGGGAUGUCGUGAUUCAGAAAAAGGUUUUCGUAUGGAUUACAGUCCCAUGUGUGAAUGG